UUGAAGGAGCUGUAGCAUAUACUGUGAGUGUUCCACCCAUAGCCUCUGAAACAUGGAUGAUCAUGGAAACAAUAGGUUGAGACCCCUUUGAGACUCUGUUGAAAACCAUAGCUCAUCUUCAGAGAAAAGAAAGUAUUAUUCAUAUGAAAAUAUUUAUGUAAUCUAUGGAUUUCAAUUUAAGGAUGCCAUGAAUAAAUAUCUCUAAGGUAAUUUGUGUUCUUA
rnacentral:lncRNA from 1 species